rnacentral:rRNA from 1 species
UCUACAGCCAUACCAUGCUGAAUGCACCUGAUCUCAGCUGUUUUCGGAAGCUUAGCAGGGUCAGGAUUGGUUAGCACUUGGAUGGGAGACCACCUGGAAUAUUGGGUGCUGUAGGC